rnacentral:sRNA from 1 species
AUGACAGUACUGGAAACUGAAAUCCUCUUUCUCCAAAGAACAGGUACAGCACAGGCGGUAGCAGUGCAGGCCUUCCCCACGCUGCCUCAUCAAUUUAUCUCAGCCCAGGCCUAGAGAGACCACCUCUAGGGAAGUUCAGUCUCUUUUCUCGCUCACUGUUAGGCUUCU